AAGGAUCAUUACCGAGUGAGGGCCCUCUGGGUCCAACCUCCCACCCGUGUUUAUUUUACCUUGUUGCUUCGGCGGGCCCGCCUUAACUGGCCGCCGGGGGGCUUACGCCCCCGGGCCCGCGCCCGCCGAAGACACCCUCGAACUCUGUCUGAAGAUUGUAGUCUGAGUGAAAAUAUAAAUUAUUUAAAACUUUCAACAACGGAUCUCUUGGUUCCGGCAUCGAUGAAGAACGCAGCGAAAUGCGAUACGUAAUGUGAAUUGCAAAUUCAGUGAAUCAUCGAGUCUUUGAACGCACAUUGCGCCCCCUGGUAUUCCGGGGGGCAUGCCUGUCCGAGCGUCAUUGCUGCCCUCAAGCACGGCUUGUGUGUUGGGCCCCGUCCUCCGAUCCCGGGGGACGGGCCCGAAAGGCAGCGGCGGCACCGCGUCCGGUCCUCGAGCGUAUGGGGCUUUGUCACCCGCUCUGUAGGCCCGGCCGGCGCUUGCCGAUCAACCCAAAUUUUUAUCCAGGUUGACCUCGGAUCAGGUAGGGAUACCCGCUGAACUUAA
rnacentral:rRNA from 2 species